UAGUUGUUACAUACAAAUUAAAAGCUAAAAAGCAUUACGUUUCAAUUUCAACUACUUUUUUUGCACUUUAACAAUCAAAUGUGAUAAUAAUAUAAUAUAAUUAUUAUUUUUAAUAGUUAAUUUGAUAUUAAAAAAACAAAUAGGUAGUGCGAGUGCCUACUGCUUUUACUUUUUUUAUAUAUGUUAAUUAUUUUUAUACCAAUUUAUUGUUUUAAACUUAGUUUUGUUUAUUGUAUAACUCAGUUACUCAAACACAUAAUGUCAAAACUAAUUAAUUUUGGUUUUUAGUUUCAGAUAAUUAGUACAAUCUGUUAGGAGUUGAUAAUCUUCCAUCACACGUUUUCAAUAAUGAGUGAUUCUGAGGCUGAGACUGCCUCAAUGGAGACUACCAGGAUGUAUAAAGAUGACCUAGAAUUAUCUCGUAUGUCUUUGUAUCUUAGCUCUCAAGAUCUGAUAAACAAUUCUCCAGAAGCUGCUCGACACAUAAGGCCGGAAAGCAUAACUUUUGAUUCGACACCGGGUGAUAUAUCUGUGGAUUUUGUACUUGUUUCAUCAUCCAAAGCCAAAGCACCAGUAGACAUAGAUGGUUGGAACCGUAGAUCUGCUUUUGAGGAAAGAAUUAAAGAACAAGGAUUACUUCUUGAAGAAGAUGUUGUUGGUGGGUUGACAUUUGUCAAAGUGCAUGCACCUAUUCCAGUGUUACGUAGAUAUUGUGAAAUAUUAAAACUGCGAAUGCCCAUGAAAGAGUAUCCAAUAACUGAACAUAUUCCUGAAAAAGGUUUUGAUCUAAUAGAGAAGAUAAAGAAAUGUAUUGGCCGUAUUAUAAGAGUUUUUAUUACUAUUGAUCCAGGACCAUUUGCGCCAACUAAGUACAUUCUGACAGCAGAGUAUUCACGGGAAAAAAGUUACUUGUUUAAUGAGGAUGAUCCAGAAUUUUUUUCUGCCGAAGUUCGCACAUUAGUUAUAGAUUUCAUCUUAAACAGAGUUAGCUGGGGAAAAGAUCAAGCAGAUGGUAAUUGUGUCGGAAUUCAGUGUCUUUUAGAUGGAGGUGUUUAUAGAGCUGCUUAUCCUUUACAUGAUGGAGAACAUACUACUGAAAAUUCAUUACGCCACCAGCUAUAUGUUGAAUGGGCUAUGAUGAGUAAAUGGAUCCGUAAACAGCCCAUUGAUCAGAUUAAAGAGUAUCUGGGUGUGAAGUAUGCAUUUUACUUCACAUGGUUAGGAUUCUACACACACCUGUUAAUUCCAGCUGCUAUUUUGGGUUUAAUUGUAUUUUUCUAUGGUAUCUUCACUUUUCCUAAUAAUAGAUUUAGUUCUGAUAUUUGUAAUGCAACAGACACAAUAAUGUGCCCAUUAUGUGACCGUACAUGUGAUUAUUGGGAACUUUCAAAUACCUGUUUUUACGCAAGGUUAACAUAUUUAUUUGACAAUGAUCUGACUGUGAUAUUUGCCUUCCUAAUGUCUAUUUGGGCUACUCUAUUUCUUGAACUAUGGAAACGAUAUUCAGCUACUAUUACACAUCGCUGGGGAUUAACAGGAUUCACUUUUGAAGCUGAACAUCCAAGGCCACAAUACUUGGCACGUUUGUCUGGAUCUAAUCAUACUAAAGUGAACAUAAUCACAGGAAAUAUUGAACCAACCGUACCUCUCUGGAAAAAAAUUCCUGCAACAUUAUUUAGCAUUUCCGUUCUUUUACUAUUAAUUGUGGUUGCUAUUGCUGCCGUGUUUGGAGUUGUGCUAUAUCGUAUGUCUGUUUUAGCAUCACUUAGUCUUACAAAUCAAUCUGAUUGGAUGAGUACUUAUAGCAAUAUAUUUAUUCCAACUACAGCAGCUAUCAUUAAUUUGGUUUGCAUUCAACUAUUAAAUUUUGUUUAUGAUAAAGUUGCUAUUUAUUUGACUGAAAUGGAACUACUACGCACACAAACCGAAUUUGAUGAAUCUUUAACAAUAAAAAUUUACUUAUUCCAAUUUGUAAAUUAUUAUACAUCAAUAAUUUAUAUAGCUUUUUUGAAAGGCAAAAAUGUUGGUUAUCCAGCUAAAUAUUUGCGUAUAUUCGGCCUUCGACAAGAAGAAUGUAGUCCAGGAGGGUGUCUCAUGGAAUUAAGCAUCCAAUUGUUCAUUAUAAUGGUUGGGCAACAAGCAUUAAAUACUGUUGUUGAAAUGAUAAUUCCUGUGGGUUUAAAUUGGUUCAAUUCAUUGACUGAGAACACAGGUCGCUUAGAUAAUCUGAAAUCAACAUCUGAAGAGGAAGAUUUGGCUACAGCUGUUAAGAAACCUUGGAUUGAAGAUUACAGACUUUUAGAUUGGGGUCCAAGAGGUCUCUUCCCAGAAUAUUUGGAAAUGGUUAUGCAAUAUGGUUUUGUAACAUUAUUUGUUACUGCAUUUCCACUGGGUCCUUUCUUUGCAUUGUUAAACAAUGUGUUUGAAAUGAGAUUAGAUGCAAAAAAAUUUUUGAAAUAUUUCCGUCGACCAAUUCCUCAUAGAGUGCCUAAUAUUGGUGUCUGGUAUCGGGUAUUGGAUAUUUUGGGAAAGUUAGCGGUUAUCACAAAUGCAUUUAUAAUAGCAUUUUCUUCCAAUUACAUACCUCGUAUGGUGUAUAUAAGCUUAGUGAGUGAAGACAACACAGAUAAGGGUUUCUUAAACAAUACUUUAGCUUACUUUGAUACCAAAGACUUUGAAAAGGGAAUCGCUCCAUUGUCAUCAUCAUAUACUAAUGUUACUUAUUGCCGCUAUAAAGACUAUAGAAAUCCACCAUGGUCCCCACAGAGGUAUGAAAGACCUACAUUUUAUUAUGAAGUGCUCGUUGCACGUCUCACAUUCAUUGUUAUAUUUCAAUCUUUCAGAAUAUUGUAUCAUUAGUGAAAGUAGCAGUUCAAUGGUUGAUACCAGAUGUUCCAAAUGCCCUCAGCGACAGAAUUAAACGAGAGUCUUACCUUACUACUCAAAUGAUAAUUAAGAAUGAGGCGAAAAAAGCAGCAGAAAUUGAACACAUGGGUGGUAUGUUGCACGGCGUCAAUUCACCAAAAAGCUUAUAAGACCAAUACAGCAAUACUUUUAAAAGAUCUUGAAGACUUCUUAUUUAUUGUUAAAUGUUAUGUUUUGUUUAACCGCACUCUGUAUAAAAAUUAAUUUGUUUUACCGAUUACCGACUAUUUAAGUUAGUGAGGCCUAACCUUUUUUUUCAACAAGCUAAAAUAAUAAAAUGUUAAAUAAGUAAAUUGGCUACUUAUAAUAUAAAAAAAAAAUUAGAUUAAUAAAAAAAGGGAAAUUUAAAUAUAAGGAAAUAAUGAUAUUUUUUUUAAAUAUUUUGUUUUAACUUAAUAAUUGGACAUAGGUUGGGCAUCGCUGAUAUAAGUCAUUAUCUUGUGUUCAUGGUUUUUAGUAUUAAAUAUGAAGAUUUUUGCAAUUUUGCUUGGUAAUUAUUAACAUUUUUCAUGCACAAAUCCACAAACAUGCUUGUUAAAUAAUUAUUAAACUUUUAUCAUUUAUAUUGAUAUAAUAUAUAGAAAUAUUGCUAAUUAUAAUGACCAAAGAUCCUCAUUACGAAUAGAGCUACUUGUUUGUUAUCCCUCUGUAUACAAUUAUCACCCUGAAACCAGGUAAUCUUUCGCCUAGAGUACUAUAGGUUCUUUAGGAACCAAAGAAACCGAUAGUUAUCAGUUCUUGUACAAAUUUUUUUAGGUAUUGGGUAAAUGAUAUUUCAAUAAAGUAUCGUAUGUCACAAACUUUAUAUUGUUAUUACUUGUUAUUAUUAUUUAAUAUUUAUUAAUUAUUUCUAAAUUUUUAAUGAACUGAAUACUGUAGUAAAAUAAUGUUAUACAUUUAAAUAUUAAUUAUUUUGGUUUAAUUAAUAACAAUUUAAAUUCUUUAUAAAUUAUAGUAUUAUACAGUACACGGUGAUUCUUUUAUCAUGAACCACUCAUUAUUUCAAAAAGUAUUCAUGUUUUUGAAAACAUUUUUUUACAUAGUUUCAAGUUGUUAAAAAAACUAUGUUUUUAUUAAUAAAUUAUAUUUUAAAUAUUUUUUAUCCUUAUAUUUUUUUAAGUUUUUUACUUUUUUGAAUGACAACAGAGUUUAAAUUUCAUAUUCCACAGCAGAAUAAUUUUCUGAGUAUUUUGAUACAUAAAACUCGAAUUUAGGGCUUUAAAUUUAGUAGUUUAUGAAUUAUACGUAUUUAAAGUUUAGACAAGCGGAGUAGUGGACAAACAUUUUGCAGGGUAACCCCGUAACCACUCCACUCUGCUAGUCUAAACUUUAAAUACAUAUAACUCAUAAACUACUAAAUUUAAAGCCCUAAAUUCGAGUUUUAUGUAUCAAAAUACUCAGAAAAUUAUUCUGCUGUGGAAUAUGAAAUUUAAACUCUAUGUUGUCAUUCAAAAAAGUAAAAAACUUAAAAAAAUAUAAUUUUUUAAUAAAAUCGUAGUCUUUUUAACAAUUUGAAACUAUGUAAAAAAAUGUUUUAAUUAAUAUUCUUAAUUUUAAGAUUUUUUUUUUAAAACCAAUAUUGAAAACUGAUGGGGAAUAUUUUGUAACCGGACAAGAAUCGGAACCGAUAAUUUUCUAAGAACCGGCUCAUCUCUAAUUAGAACAAUUUAAAUGUACGAUAUCUAUAAAGAUUUCUAGAAAACUCUCUUAUUUUUUACAUGUUACUUUGAAAUAUUAGUUGUUAACUAUGCUACUAUUAACUAUAAAUAAUUUAUUAUAAUCAUUAUAAGCCAUUAUUUGAAAAUUUUGUAACACUACAAAAAAAAAUAUCAUAGUAUAACGUACGAUCCUACCUAAGAACUAACCGGGGCGAUAACAAACAAGUACCAAAAUAGAUAAGUAUAUUUGUUAUUUAUAUUAUUUUAAAUAUUUUUAUAUAUUGUAUAAGGAAUUUCAGGGAUAUAUUUUUUAUACGCUUAGUGUUAUUGAUAAUUAAUUACAAAAAUUACCUCAGUUAAACAUGGUGGAUGUAUUUUAUUAUUGAAUCGAUCAUAAUUAUAUGGGAAAUAACUAGGUAUGGACAACAAAAAAUUAUUGGUAGUAUAAUAUAUGAUUCUUUAUUUAUUUA